UACUAGUACUACAAAGUGGAGAAUAUACAUACAUACAUGUCUAGUGAUAUAGGUAAAUUUAUACUCUGAAAGGAAAACACAAAAGCCUAAUUAAUAUGCCCUGCAAAUUUUUGUUCUAAUAUUAUGAUCCACAACCUCCAUGCCACCAUAAAAUUGAGCUGCCUGGCUGCUAUCGAUGACCGGUGCCUUGACAGUGAUUAUCUGUGGGCCGUGAUACAAGUAUGUGCAUUGAUUAGUAGGAGGCCUACCUCCAGACUUCUUGGAGCCGCCAUAGUACUCGUCCAAGAGAGCAAAGCCCUCCUUGGCAACUUCAACAAGCUUGUCUUUCUGCUGAUAAGUUGGUGGAGCCAUUAGCUAACUAUGAGAGCAGAAGUUAUAUGUACUUUAGAAAACUAGAGAAGUUUUUGUUAUUUGUUCGUAGUAUUGCUUCUAGUGUUU
rnacentral:lncRNA from 1 species